CCCGCUUUCCACACAGGGCGGCUAAACCUGUUAGUUAUUUCUUACGUACAGUUCAGAAUGAAGCCCCAGAGUGCAUGAAGCUCUCUGUUCCUGGGCUGAGAUGCUGACAGCCUAGUUGCAUGAAGGUGUCCGAUGUGAGCAACGAACAUGGGAUCAGGGGUCCAUGGGGUCAGGUUUGAGUCCCCUUGCUGACACCAACUUGCUGUUUUUCCCUUCUCUUAACCAGAGCCCAGACAAAGCAUGAGAAAACAGGAUACUUCUAAAUGUACGGAAUGUUAUAUGGAAAGAAUGCAAUUUGCAGGAGGAGAAGAGAAAUUCAUAGAAAGAAGGCACACCUAUAGCUACAGCCAGGCUGAGGCUGGGAGGAGCCCUGAAAGCUGCUGAGAUAUCCUAAGAUGGAAAAUUUCAGGAGGCCAGCUGCAUAUCUGCAUUUGAAUCCCACUGCUCUGGGAAAGGAGGAGCUACAGCAAACAAUAAACUCACUCUAACAGGACUUCUCUCCUCUGGAAGGGAGGCCCAAGAGAAACUGCAGCCAAGGGAGGCCGUCCUGAGCCCAGCAAGAAGAGCCCGGCUGAGGCAGCACAGCAGGACCCAGCGAAGUCAGAUCAUAGCUGAGCGCGGAGCCAGAGGAGGGAGGCCCCUCCGGGCGCCAAGCCCGUCACUUACCGGACUCCAGGCAGGACGCAUCCAGCACUGUCCUUCAUUAGCGCUAAUGGAAUUUCAAGGUCAAUGACCAGUCAUAAACAUCAGCCCUAAAUUAAGUGUAUCUGAGGCUCCUUGCCCAGAGGAUUUUUUUUUUUUCUUAAAAGCCAAGUUGCUUGGGAGAUAGGGGAGUGUCAAAAAUACAGUUAACCUUUCAAGAUGAAAACAUUAUCAAUUCUAUUGAUUUAGAUCAUAACUCGCUUCCACUUAACUCAUCAAAAAGGAUUGCCAAUUUUAGAAAUAAUGUAUUUCUCAGUCUUAGGGAGUCUUUUCUCACCUCUCCUUCCCAUCUCUUUCUCCAGGCAACUUUUCUCUCAAGUCCACUGGGGACACCUUAUACAGGAGAUUGACUGGGGUCUGGCUAGAUUGCUGACAACACCAAAAUGCUGUACACCUCACCCGUAGUGUUUUGUAUUAUUGAUAGUGGCUUCUCUGCCUGUCAUUUCUCCCCCUCUCCUUCCAAACAGCUGGGAAUAUCCCUGCGAUCCUUGUCAUACAACAUGACUAAUAUGUUCAGCUUCAGAGGUACAAAGGAGACAGAAAUAAAUGAAGGGAUCGCUAAAUAGGAGUUUUUCUAUUCCUCCAGUGGGAUGAUGAGUAACUAGGAACAGACGGCCCCAAGCAUCAUCGCAUAAUCAUCAGGUUGAGGGCCUGAAAGACUCUUAAAAAAACUGAAAUCAACACCCUAUCUAAGGUCAAAUGUAUGGUGAGCUUAGGUUCCAGGGCCAGAGUCAACAGCAAUUUCUAGCUAAAUCCUAGUAUUAACACACCUUGAGAUUUACAAGCCAGAUUUUAGCACCUCCAAACCCUUCCUGCUCGGCUCUGUCUGGGGCGUUAUGCCUUGGUUGUAUGCAUCAGCUCGCUUCCUUGCCUACUUCUGAAUCUGUGUGUGGCACUGCAGGAAGGGAAAGAACUGGUCCCCUGACAUAAAUCAUAGUCAAACUCCCUAUAUGUUUUUUUACUGAUACUCCAUGCUAAAAAAUUCCAACCAGACUCCGAACAAGGUACCUCUUGCUGCAGACAUUAAUGACAGAUCUUUGUUUUGUUUUGACAAAAUUUUGUCUGUACUGAAUAAAGAUGGCCAUAGCCCUUCCACCGUGCCCCUGUGGCUCCCCACCAGCCCUCUCUCUAAAUCCUGA